CUUUCCUGUGGCUCAGUUGGUGGAGCAUUGUGCUGAUAACACUAAGGUUGUGGGUCCAAAUCCCAGGGAAAGA